GAUGUGAUGAAGCUGCCAUUGUCCUACUGUAAUCACUGACCUAACGUCCAUACCAACAUAAUAUUGGGAGCUGCAACCCAGAAUGGCAGUGCCAGGUGGCCGUGUCGGGGUACCUGGGGGUCUCCAGGACCUAGGCACCAUUGACUGGGGAGGAAACGAUGUCCCGGAGCAGCCUACAUCAACAGAGGGUCUGAGGCAGCAGCAACGGCAACUCAUCAGAGAGCAGGACGAGGGUUUGGACGUGCUGGCCUCGGUAAUAUCCCGACAAAGGCAGAUGGCCGGCGCCAUCGGAGCGGAGAUCGAGGAACAAAGCGCACUGAUUGACGACAUCUCCGAUCUGGCGGAGCGAGGAGCCGCACGGAUCGAACACCAGACUCGCCAGGUGCGCCGCGUCGACCGGAAAGAGUCCGGCACAUGCUGGUACUGGGUGGUCAUAAUCGCUCUCAUGAUAGCCAUCGUGGUCAUCUUCCUGUGGUGACCUCCCGCCAACGGUCACGUGACUUCUGAGUGGCCAGGUGGACUGUGGCUGAUGAGGUCACGUGACUUAGUUGGUCGAGUGGGCAGUGGCUGGACGGGACGUGACAUUUCACGAUUGGUCGCGUUUAAGUGGUACUGUUGGCUCCAGUGAAUGGAUGCAAACGACAUAUCGACACCUUUUUUUUAAACCCCACAUCUGCUGCUCUCCCGUGAAUUUCCGGGAGGCACGAAAGAUCUCCUUUUAAAAGUGUCUAAUCGUCCGAUCCUGAUCAAAUAUGUGUGUUCGUAGGCCUGUUCUGGUAUUGCUUUAUCUGCCAAGACAGACAAACUUGAGAAAAAUCGUGUGAUUGUACCUUUUUUGAAGGUCUCUAACCAGUAACCAACUUGUCUGAAAUUCACCGGAGAACAAAUGUGGGGUUUAAAAAAAGGUGUCGAUAUGUGCUGCUAAAGGAUGCACCUCGUCUCAAACUAGUUGGCCCUACAACCUGUGAAAACUCAGUAGCGAACAACUUGUUCGAAGGUUGAUCACUUUGGCGCUGCGUUUCAUAUCACCUGAUCUCUCCUCGUCCCACACCCACGUUGUAACUGAUGGCUAAUGGAUGGUCGGGCUGAAGUGUGCUGUAUGCGCCAAAAGGAAAUGUCCUUUCAUGACGUCAUUGUGAUAAUCUUGUGACGUCAUUGAGAUAACGUAUUCUUAUCGUUUGUAACGGGUGGUAAUAUUGAUGUGUUCCCUGGGCAUGUAUGUGAAUGAGAGCUGUAGAACGCAAAUGAGCACGAAGUCUACACGCUUCUGACUGGUAUAGACCAAAAGGAAUGUGCUUGAAUGUCGAUCGUAAUCGUAUGCGUGUAAUGGUAUCGUGUGUCGAUGGGUACUUUGUGAAUAUUUUUGUACUUGUAUCGAUAUGGUUAUUGUGACAUAUAAACAAGGGGGCCUUCCCGGUAUUGUGUCGUGUAACAUCAUGCUGCUGUGUAUCGCAAUAUAUUUUAGAACUUGUC
rnacentral:misc_RNA from 1 species